rnacentral:lncRNA from 1 species
CAUCACUUCCUCUCACCGUGCUCCCUCAUCCCUCCCUCCUCCUCUUCCUCCUCCUCCUCCUCCUCCUCCUCCUCCUCCUCCAGCCACCAGCGGUCUAGAGGCGGAGAGCGGCAGGCGCGGCGGCAGCAGCAGUAGCCACGGCGAUGGCAGCCACAGCGGCGGCGGCAUCGGCGGAGGAAGCGGCGGCGGCGGCGGCGGCGGCGCGGCCCACUUCAGGUCUCCAUGGCAACAGAGCGUGAACGUGUUCGGCUCGUGGAGCAGGCCGGAGUGUGUCGAGGAGCUGCACCAGCAGGCGCAGCUCAACCUCCAGAGCCUGCUGCAAGAGUUUGAGGAGCAGCUGUACGACACCAAGCUGACCGGCCAGACGUUCCGCCACCCGUCGUCCCAGAGCUCCGACGACACGUCCACCUCGCUCAGCCGCUCGCCCGUCUCCAUCAGCAACAAGAGGCCCGACUUCAUCUUCCUGCCGGCGUCCAAGCAGCUGUACGACGAUGAAACCGCCUCCUCCGUGUUCGGCCUGAGGUCGGCCACCGACCCGUCCCCCUCCCCGUCCCCGUCCCCCUGCGGCUCGGACCGCCCGGCGCCGGGCUGGAGCAGUAACCACAGCGGCAGCAGCAGCACGGCCGCCGCCGCCGCCGCCGCCGCGCCGCCCGUGGCGGAGAAGCCCCGCUGGCACCUGGGGCGGCGCCCGCCGGCCGGCUUCCUCCCGCCGGACAUCACGUCAGGUCAGGAUCGCUCUGCUCCCGGGUUCCUAUCAUCACCUGACUACCGUCGAACGGGAAGACUUCUGAACGG